AAUGGUACACUUCUGAGUAGA
rnacentral:miRNA from 1 species